GGAACUUUUUAUCAAAUUUGGAACUUUUUCAUGUCGGGUUACUAUUCAUGAGUUACUAUUCAUGAGUUACUAUUCACGAGUUACUAUACACGAGUACUAUUCACGAAGUAUGAUGAUGUAUUUUGUGAAAUUUCUAUCUUUUGGUGUCGGAGUUACUAUUCACGUAUAUGGCACUAUUCACGUAUACGGCACUAUUCACAGAAAAAUUAAAUUUUCUUUUCUAUGUCCAAG
rnacentral:lncRNA from 1 species